CAAGGUUUACUCUGCAGUGUUACUCCAUUACCAAGGAAAAAACUGCUAAAUUAUUAUUUUCCAUUUUCUAAUACGAUUUGUUUCUGUUAUUUGUAGCCAUGCAGACACAGGUGUCUCCUGUCAGUGCAGACUUCGGAACAACCUCUCUUUUGCCACACUCACUGCUGACUUCAACACCAAUAAAGGGCCCAGGCUGGUGACCUAGCAAGAGACCACGGCUUGAGUUGGAGGAAGCGGAGGAGAGUGACUCCUCAAGUCAUUCCACAGUCUGAUACUGUGUUUUGCUCCAAAGAAUGUGUUAUUUCCCUUCAUGGGAAUGUUGUGCAGGAGCAAGCUACGACUUCUGCAGUGCAGGCGAAGAGUGGGGAAGGUGUUGUGAAGGCUGUGAAAACAGAUCCAACAUUCAACUAUGUACAUGACCUCAUGAGGCUGCUCAUGGAGGUUUUUGAGGACACAACAUCAUUUGAAGAGGAAAUGAAGACUAUCCCCAUCCCUCCAGACCUUUCAGCGGAAUAGACACACUCUCCCAAGGCUGAGCUGGUUGCCCGUCACGUCUCCCGCUUCAAUCAAGAGGUGGUCUGAAGCCUACGAAGUCACCAGAUGGGAACUGCUGCCAUAUCCGCUGCACCACACAUGACGGGAUGACGACCCGACAACUAUGUCCUAAAUAUCCCCAACACCAGCUUACAAAGCUGCGAUAGGCAAGAUGCCUGAAACGCCUAAGGGACAAGGAGUGGAACUUUCUGUUAAAGGUCCCAUGACAUGAAAAUCUCACUUUGUGAGGUUUUCUAACAUAAAUAUGAGUUCCCCCUAGCCUGCCUAUGGUCCCCAAGUGGCUAAAACUUGCAUUUGGUGUAAAACGAGCACUAGCUGUUCUGCUCGCCUUUGAAAAAACGGAGGCUCAAGCGCGCUGAUUUGGAAUGUCUGUAUGCAUGACGUCAUCAGGAAUCUCAGCUCCUCCCCUUACUCUGCCUGGCCCGCCCAGAGACGUUGGCCCGCCAAUGAGACUCGACCGUGCGAGCGCCACAUGUGUGUGUGUGUGUGAAUACACACUGUAACGCAAGUGUUUCUUGUCGGUUCUUUGACGUGUCUUGUAUGUCCACAAUGAGACUGUCGUGGGGGUUAUCUGAGCCAUGGUUGAGAAGGAAUUGGGGGAAAGGAACUUUGGUUUGACUCGCUGAAGUACAUGAACUGCGAC
ensembl:lncRNA